GGCUGAGGCGUAGCAUAGUGGUUUGAGCAUUGGGCUAUGUCUCUGUAGACCAGGGUUCGAAACCCAGCUCAGCCA